rnacentral:rRNA from 1 species
GACGAACGCUGGCGGCGUGCCUAAUACAUGCAAGUCGAACGCAGUGGGGACGGGUGAGUAACACGUGGGUAACCUCCCAUCAGAGGGGAUAACACUUGGAAACAGGUGCUAAACCGAUACUGAUGGAUGGACCCGCGGUGCAUUAGCUAGUUGGUGAGGUAACGGCUCACCAAGGCCACGAUGCAUAGCGGACCGCAGAGGUGUAUCGGCCACACUGGGACUUGGACACGGCCCAGACUCCUACGGGAGGCAGCAGUAGGGAAGUUUCGGCAAUGGACGGAAGUCUGACCGGGCAACGCGGCGUGAGUAAAGAGGGUUUUCGGAUCGUAAAGCGCUGUUGUUAGAGAAGCGGUAACUAACCGGAAAGGGACGGCUAACUACGUGGCAGCAGCCGCGGUAAUUC